GAUGAACGCUGGCGGCGUGCCUAAUACAUGCAAGUCGAGCGAACGGACGAGAAGCUUGCUUCUCUGAUGUUAGCGGCGGACGGGUGAGUAACACGUGGAUAACCUACCUAUAAGACUGGGAUAACUUCGGGAAACGGGAGCUAAUACCGGAUAAUAUUUUGAACCGCAUGGUUCAAAAGUGAAAGACGGUCUUGCUGUAACUUAUAGAUGGAUCCGCGCUGCAUUAGCUAGUUGGUAAGGUAAAGGCUUACCAAGGCAACGAUGCAUAGCCGACCUGAGAGGGUGAUCGGCCACCCUGGAACUGAGACACGGUCCAGACUCCUACGGGAGGCAGCAGUAGGGAAUCUUCCGCAAUGGGCGAAAGCCUGACGGAGCAACGCCGCGUGAGUGAUGAAGGUCUUCGGAUCGUAAAACUCUGUUAUUAGGGAAGAACAUAUGUGUAAGUAACUGUGCACAUCUUGACGGUACCUAAUCAGAAAGCCACGGCUAACUACGUG
rnacentral:rRNA from 1 species